CAGACACAGACGCACGCACACAAAGAGCCAGGUUACAUCAGAUUUUGUGGCUACUGUCAUACUUCCUUAAAAUUGGCGCAGCUUUGGAUAACUGCAUAAGACAAAACGUGUAAAUAAAACCUAACAACGACUUCGUCAGGAAUUAGAAAUAUCUGCUUUUAAAUGCCUAGACAGGCUGUAAAAAAAAUUUGCCACUAGAUGUCCUUGUUGCAACAGAGGAGCAACUUGUGAGGAGGCGCUCCUCUUGAGUCCGUUUUGCCCGUGCAUGCGUGUGCACAAUGCAAGAUCAUUUGCACGCAAGUAAGAUACAUGUGGGUUUAUGUCUUUCCGUUUACAUUGCUGUUUUUAUUUAUCUGGGUGUGUGACGGUGCAGUUGUUGUGCAGAAUGUCUGCUCAAAGACAGGAACUGAGAUCUCAGCUCUGAGGCCAGUCUGGUGAAAGCUGUACAUGCUUCGUCACUGCGAGCUGACGCCUCCGUCUUUACCUCUGUGUAACACUGGUGAAGUCUUCUAAUAGGUAGCAUGCUAUGUAUGCCGUGUGUUGUGGUUUUCCCUUUGCAUGAUACUAUUGCACAUGUUGCAAUGUGCAUGGAAAAUAUUGCAUCAAGGUGCCAGUUCACUGUGUGAAGCAGGACAGAUGGACAGAAGUUUGAUAUCAUAAACACUUGCUUAAACCAGUUUCGGGUUUAGCUGCUGUUACAGUUGAAACCAGAUGUUUGCCCAGGCUGUACAUUGUUUUUCUCACCAUCUGCCAUCAAAAAAAGACUGAAGAUUUCAUGUUUCAGGUCCAGCUGCCCCACCAAAUCGAUAAGUGGAUGGAUUGUAACAACAGCCCCCUGACAUCAUGCCCAGAGUUAUACGCUCCUCAAGCUGACACACAGCUGAUGAGGUCGGCAAAAAAGUAGAGCUUUUAGCCUCUCUGCGCUGGGAAAAGUGUAAAAGCUGACAAAUGAGGAUAUCGACAGAUGGAGGCAGAUUCAUUGGAUUUGAAUCUUGCGAAGAAGCUGGACUGAACUGUGACCAAGAUAUAGUGUACAGUGAAGUAUAUGAUGGUUUAACAGGAGGUUGAGUGUUAAGUUGAAGAAUUUGUGGUUGUAGUUAGAGAAACCCGAGCUGUUCUGCAGUAUCUUGGAAAAGUGUUAACACCACUUGAAUGUUUUUGCUUUUUGUCACAUUACAAACACCAACUUCCAUGUGUUUUAUUGGUAUUUUAUGUGACACAGUACAAUACUUCAUAAAUAGUUUAUAAAAACCUUUUAAAAAGUGUGGCAUGCAUGUGUUCAGAGGUAAACCAGUGUAACCAAAUUCCUUCAAUAGUCACCUAAUUCAUAAUUAUUAGUCAUGUACGGCUCAAAUCACUCCAACAGGAAAGAGAUUGUGAAAAAAGCCAUUGCUGGAAAACAGCCACAAAAGGUACAAUUUGCUGUUUGCCACAAGUAAUGAAUAUCUGGAAGAAAGAUGCUUUGGUCAGAUGAGACCAGAGCAAUUUAAGUCCAAAGUUGAAUACAACCCAUCUGACUGAGCUUGAUGGAUUUUGAGAAAAGAAUAAGCAAACAUUUCAGUUUAGAUUAAAUUUGAGUAAUGACUCACGGGGGCUGAAUACAAAUGUACUGCGCAAUUUUCAGAUUUUUUUUUUCCACCCAAAAAUGUCUUACAAAACAAGUUUGUAAUUUAAAUGUGACAAAUAAAGAGAGCUAAUAAUUUAUAAUGAACACAGUUUUAAUACACUUCAAAUGACUUUCACAUACUUUCAGCAGGCCAAUAUAUAAAAGAUGCUUUUUAUCACUGUCACAAUAACUAGAUAUUUACUACGACUAUUAUUGCCCAAAUUUGUAAUAUAUUAAAAAUAAAUUUGUGUACACAAUUUUGAGUUACCUGUCUAAUAAUUAAACCUAAUAAUAACAGGUUCAAGAAUAAAGAACACAGAUCAAUAACUACACUGAUAUUCUUGUUUUUUUUUAAUGAUUUUUACUGGUAAUAACUUUUAACUGUUGAAUAAUGUCACAACUUCAAGAAAGACAGUACACUUUCAGCGGAACAAAUACAAAAAGGCAAAGCAGCAAUCAAUAUUACUAAGAAGGAUUUGAUGAAAGCAAAAAACAGGACUGGACUUCAUCUAGUAAUGGCUACCUCUGCACCCUUUUGUCCCAGUAAAUCUUAAACUGGUUGUGAGGCUGUCAUUAAGGUCAAAGAGGAGGAGCAGUAGAAAGAGAAGAGACAGUAAAGGGCACAUACCGCCGA